AGAGGAAGGAGGCUUGUCAGUCAGCAGGCCUUGUAGAGUGUAUCACUCCUAGCCGCUGGGAAGGUCUGAGAGAGGACCUUGCAUAGCCCUAAGAGAGGCACUUAGAGCAGGGAGCCAAGCUUCCAGAAACCAGGGCUUCAAGAGAGGGUAAGCCAACUGGGCAGGAGAGGCCACGGGCACAGAGAAUGUUCUCCUCACUGGAGCUUCAGACUGGCCUACUCCCAGCAGCAAGCUCAACAGCUGAGGAGGGACACCUCAAAGGCUUCAUAACCCAAUUGUGAACGUUUCCCCUGCCUUU
ensembl:ribozyme RNaseP_nuc Nuclear RNase P